GUGAUUGUAGCUCAGUGAUAGAGCACUUGUCUAGUAUAUUUGAGAUACUGAGUUUGAUUCUCAGUACCACA
rnacentral:tRNA from 1 species